UACGUAGGGGGCAAGCGUUGUCCGGAUUUAUUGGGCGUAAAGAGCGUGUAGGCGGCCUGAAAGGUCAGCUGUGAAAACUCGAGGCUCAACCUCGAAACGUCGGUUGAAACCAUCUGGCUAGAGUCCGGAAGAGGAGAGUGGAAUUCCCGGUGUAGCGGUGAAAUGCGCAGAUAUCGGGAAGAACACCCGUGGCGAAGGCGGCUCUCUGGGACGGUACUGACGCUGAGACGCGAAAGCGUGGGGAGCGAACAGG
rnacentral:rRNA from 1 species